AAUCUUGCGCAAUGGGCGAAAGCCUGACGCAGCAAUUCCGCGUGGAGGACGAAGGCCUUCGGGUCGUAAACUCCUUUUGUGAGGGAAGAAGUUCUGACGGUACCUCACGAAUAAGCACCGGCUAACUACGUGCCAGCAGCCGCGGUAAUACGUAGGGUGCAAGCGUUGUCCGGAUUUAUUGGGCGUAAAGAGCCCGCAGGCGGCCUGUCAAGUUUCAGGUGAAAUCUCCCGGCUCAACUGGGAGGGGUCCUGGAAAACUGUCAGGCUUGAGGCAGGGAGAGGGAUGUGGAAUUCCCGGUGUAGUGGUGAAAUGCGUAGAUAUCGGGAGGAACACCAGUGGCGAAGGCGGCAUCCUGGCCCUGUUCUGACGCUGAGGUGCGAAAGCGUGGGGAGCAAAC
rnacentral:rRNA from 1 species